UCUUAAUCACUGAGCCUAUCUUGCCAUCCCUUGAAUGAAUUAAUUUUUAAUCAAGCUUAAAAUCCAGGAGAAAUAAAAUCGAGGAAACAAGUUGCUAUGGAUGAGAGCAACUGCUACUUUGCCUCUCAGUGGAGACAGCUGAAGAAUGAAGUAAACUGCCUCAGGCUGGUUACCAGAGGAUUCGUGUAUGAUCCAUCUCACGUGGACAUGAACAAAUGAAGAACAGCUCUGAGCAGUUUUAAAUCUCAAAUGCUCCACAGUGUGUGGGGCAUGAGAAGACUCAAGUCCACCAGCUAGCAGGCAGAAACAAGAACCACACCGUCAGCUCUUCUGUACCUCCAGCCUGCAGAUUUUUAACAUUUAUCACCCUCCAUAAUUGCACAUGCCAGUUCCCCUGAAUACGUCUUCUGUAUGUGUGCACAUUCCACUGGCUGUUUUCCUCUGGAACUCUGGCUAAUAUACUGCCAAAAGCAAUUGAAACUGAAAGCAAGCAUCACUGGUGCAGAUGUUUUCAGGGCGAUCACUGGAGAGGGCCUCAGAGUAGCUCGAUUGCAGGCUGAGCUGGUGUCAUGGAGGAAGAGACAGCAGAGCACUGGAGCAGCAGCUGAGGUGUCGGCAGGAUGAGCUGUGAAAGGGAUAAGGCAGCCUGUUGUUUGACAGCAGAAGAAAGAGCAACUGAAGAGUUUGAAAGCAGCCAGGGCAGGAAGGAAGGUCAUGGAAGUAGAAAGGUACUACGAGAGCUGAGGCAAACAGACAAAGGAUGCAAAGAGCCAGAGAAAAGAAACCACAGGCCUUGAUCCUAAGAGUUCCAGAGAGUUCUCAGGUCUUCUGGGACAAGGGUCUCAGACACCCCAGGACAAGAGCUCGAUGCUGACAAGAACUGAGGUGUCCCUGCCACCCAGGUCUUCCCGGAAGUCUCAGUUAAGGGCUGAAGAACUUGGAGGGCUACAGGUUUGGGUAUCUGAGGCUUGCAUGCCAACUGUAGCAAUAGAGGGCCCUGCCUGCUGUAGCUCCCGCUGUAGCUCCCACUGGCCUACUGCAGCUACUCACUAAAGCCAAACACUGAAGGAAACGAGCAGACAAG
rnacentral:lncRNA from 1 species